rnacentral:lncRNA from 7 species
AGGAAAAUGCGGUGAUUUCGUGGAGAAAGAGGGGUGGAUUUUCGAGGAAAUGCGGGGAUUUGGGGUGAAAGGUGGUAUAUUUGGGGGAGAAAUGUGUUAUUUCCCAGCCAAAAGUGGUAUUUUCGGGUAGAAAAUGCGUGAUGUUUGGACAGAGGUGCGUUUUUUCGGGGGGAAAUGCGUGAUUUUUGGGUGAAAGGGGCAUUUACGGUAAGGAAAUGCAUUAUUUUCUGGCGCAUGGGGAAUUUACGAAGGGAAAAUGCGUGAUUUUCGGGCAAAAACUUGUAUUUCGGAGUGACAGUGCAUGGUUUCCGUUAGAAAAGUUUUAUUUUCCGGAAGAAAAAGACUGAUUUUGGGGUGAAAUGGGGUUGUUUCGCGCAGAAAAUGCGUGAUUUUUCGUGUGCAAGGUGGUACUUUCGGGAAGAAAAUGUGUGAUUUCCGAGAGAAAAAAGUGGUAGUUCUGGAGAGAAAACGCGUGAUUUUGGGGUGAAUGGUGCUAUUUCUUGGCGAAAACGUGAUAUUUCUGUUUGAGAAGUGGUAUUUUCUGGAGGAAAAAGCGUAAUUUUCGGCUGAAAGGUGGUACUUUCGGGGUGAAAUGCGUGCUUUGUGAGUGAAGCGUGUUAUAUUUGGGGUAGAAAUGUGUUAUUUCCCAGCGAAAAGUGGUAUUUUCGGGAAGGAAGUGCAGAAUUUUUGGGAGACAGGUGGUAUUUUUGGAUGAAAAUGCAUGAUUUUCGAGAGAAAAGUGGUAUUCUCGAGAGAAAAUGCGUGAUUUUGGGGUGAAAGGUGGUAUAUUUGGGGGAGAAUGUGUUAUUUCGCCAGCGAAAAGUGGUAUUUUCGGGGAAGGAAGUGCAGAAUUUUUGGGAGACAGGUGGUAUUUUUGGAUGAAAAUGCAUGAUUUUCGAGAGAAAAGUGGUAUUUCUCGAGAGAAAAUGCGUGAUUUUGGGGUGAAAGGUGGUAUAUUGGGGGAGAAUGUGUUAUUUCCCAAAGGGUACGGGAAAAUUGUGGUAUUUUUUCGGGGGGAAA